rnacentral:rRNA from 1 species
UACGGAGGGUGCGAGCGUUAAUCGGAAUAACUGGGCGUAAAGGGCACGCAGGUGGGCAUGUAAGUGAGAUGUUAAAUCCCCGGGCUUAACCUGGGAAAAGCAUUGCAGACUGGGAGGCUAGAGUACUUUAGGGAGGGGUGGAAUUCCACGUGUAGCGGUGAAAUGCGUAGAGAUGAGGAGGGAUACCGAAGGCGAAGGCAGCCCCUUGGG